rnacentral:rRNA from 1 species
GACGAACGCUGGCGGCGCGCUUAACACAUGCAAGUCGAACGGAAAGGCCUGCUUUCCCUUGUGGAUUGCGGGUACUCGAGUGGCGAACGGGUGGGUAACACGUGGGUGGUCUGCCCCCAACUUGGGUAUAAGCCGGGGAAACUGCGUCUAAUUCCCGAUAGGACUGCAGGGUGGUGCCUGUGGUGGAAAACGAGUUUCUAGUGGUUGGGGAUGAGCUCUCGGCCGAUCAGCUUGGUGGUGGGGUAAUGGCCUACCAAGGCGGCGACGGGUAGCCGGACUGAGAGGGUGGACGGCCACACUGGGACUGAGAUAAGGCCCAGACUCCUACGGGAGGCAGCAGUGGGGAAUAUGACACAAUGGGCGGAAGCCUGAUGCAGCGACGCCGCGUGGGGGAUGACGGCAUUCGGGUUGUAAACUCCUUUCGACCGCGAGGAAGCCACCUGGUUGGAAGGGUGGUGACGGUAGUGGUAGAAGAAGCACCGGCUAACUACGUG